GUGCUCGCUUCCGCAGCACAUAACUAAAACUGGAACAAAACAGAGGAGAUUAGCAUGGCCCCUGCACAAGGAUAACAUGCAAAUUUGUGAAGCAUUCCAUAUUAAA